rnacentral:misc_RNA from 1 species
AAUUCUCAACCUACCGGUCUUUGCGGAUCGGUAAGGCUUGGACUUGGAGGCUUGUCGGCCCGUGUGGUCGACUCCUCUCAAAUGCAUUAGCCUGGUUCCUUGCGGAUCGGCUCUCGGUGUGAUAAUUGUCUACGCCGCGACCGUGAAGCGUUUGGCUGGCUUCUAACCGUCUCGAUGGAGACAACUUUCUGAC